CGCGUAGGUAACCUACCUCAUAGCGGGGGAUAACUAUUGGAAACGAUAGCUAAUACCGCAUAAGAGAGACUAACGCAUGUUAGUAAUUUAAAAGGGGCAAUUGCUCCACUAUGAGAUGGACCUGCGUUGUAUUAGCUAGUUGGUGAGGUAAAGGCUCACCAAGGCGACGAUACAUAGCCGACCUGAGAGGGUGAUCGGCCACACUGGGACUGAGACACGGCCCAG
rnacentral:rRNA from 1 species